rnacentral:rRNA from 1 species
UCCCAGACUCCUACGGGAGGCAGCAGUGGGGAAUAUUGCACAAUGGGCGAAAGCCUGAUGCAGCAACGCCGCGUGAAGGAAGAAGGGUUUCGGCUCGUAAACUUCUAUCAACAGGGACGAAAGAAAUGACGGUACCUGAAUAAGAAGCCCCGGCUAACUACGUGCCAGCAGCCGCGGUAAUACGUAGGGGGCAAGCGUUAUCCGGAUUUACUGGGUGUAAAGGGAGCGUAGACGGCGAAGAAAGUCUGAAGUGAAAGCCCGCGGCUCAACCGCGGAAUGGCUUUGGAAACUUUUUUGCUGGAGUACCGGAGAGGUAAGCGGAAUUCCUAGUGUAGCGGUGAAAUGCGUAGAUAUUAGGGGGAACACCAGUGGCGAAGGCGGCUUACUGGACGGUAACUGACGUUGAGGCUCGAAAGCGUGGGGAGCAAACAGGAUUAGAUACCCGGGUAUU